rnacentral:rRNA from 1 species
UACGAAGGGGGCGAGCGUUGUUCGGAAUUACUGGGCGUAAAGGGCGCGCAGGCGGCCCUUGAAGUCAGGCGUGAAAGCCCCGGGCUCAACCUGGGAGGUGCGCUUGAUACUCGAGGGCUUGAGUGCGGGAGAGGAGAGUGGAAUUCCUGGUGUAGCGGUGAAAUGCGCAGAUAUCAGGAAGAACACCCGUGGCGAAGGCGGCUCUCUGGGACGGUACUGACGCUGAGACGCGAAAGCGUGGGGAGCGAACAGG